rnacentral:rRNA from 1 species
AUACGGAGGAUCCGAGCGUUAUCCGGAUUUAUUGGGUUUAAAGGGAGCGUAGGUGGAUUGUUAAGUCAGUUGUGAAAGUUUGCGGCUCAACCGUAAAAUUGCAGUUGAAACUGGCAGUCUUGAGUACAGUUGAGGUGGGCGGAAUUCGUGGUGUAGCGGUGAAAUGCUUAGAUAUCACGAAGAACUCCGAUCGCGAAGGCAGCUCACCGGGCCGGAACUGACACUGAUGCUCGAAAGUGCGGGUAUCAAACAGGAUUAGAUACCCUGGUAGUCCGCACAGUAAACGAUGAAUACUCGCUGUUUGCGAUACACUGUAAGCGGCCAAGCGAAAGCGUUAAGUAUUCCACCUGGGGAGUACGCCGGCAACGGUGAAACUCAAAGGAAUUGACGGGG